rnacentral:snoRNA from 1 species
GGUCUGUGAUGAACAGUAAAAGGUCUGAUUUCCCAAAGACUUGCGCUUCCAUGACCGCUUCUCCCAGCGGUUUCUCACCAGUCACAGCACAGCAGUGGUGUGGCUGGCAGUGUUUGCUGACAGCUUGUGAUGUGCUCGGUUCAUGUCAACCUCAAGUAUUGGAGACGUGGCCGGGCUCAGCAUCCAACAGCCCUACCUGAAGGAGUCUGGGGUCUUGGACAGUUAAAACUGGACACAUGAUCUGACUUUUCUGCUGAGACC